GUUUUACAUAGGCUUUUGCCAAGAGUAAAUAUCUUGGMGAAUAAGUGGUGGGRAAGACUGGUGCCAGCCGCCGCGGUAACACCAGCGCCACGAGUGGCAAUCKUUUUUAUUGGGCCUAAAGCGUCCGUAGCSGGUUUAAUAAAUUUUUUGUGAAAUYGUUGGGCUUAACUUAACGGCGUGCAGGAGACACUGCUAAUCUUGRGACCGGGAGGGGUSAGAAGUAUUUUKGGGGGAGCGGUAAAAUGUUAUAAUCCUUGGAAGACCACCUGUGGMGAAGGCGUCUCACYAGAACGKAUCUGACGGUGAGGGAARAAAGCUAGGGGAGCAAACCGGAUUAKAUACCCGAGUAGUCCUSGCCGUAAACUCUSCGAGCUAGGUGUUGCAUAUUCUUCRYGWAUGCGCAGUGUCGAAGCGAAACAGUUA
rnacentral:rRNA from 1 species